CAAAAAAACGCCUUACUAUACUAUGUCGAAAAAAAAUGCGAUUUUUCAGACAUGUUGUAAAAACGUGCCAUAUAAUGAAAUGAUGUAAAGGAGGCCGUGAAAAACACUCCAGAAAGGUUUUCUUUGAAAAAAAAAAUCAUCAUGAAUUUUGGCGCAAAAAAACGCCUUACUAUACUAUGUCGAAAAAAAAUGGGAUUUUUCAAACAUGUUGUAAAAACGUGCCAUAUGAUGAAAUAAUGUAAAGGAGGCCGUGAAAAACACUCCAGAAAGGUUUUCUUUGAAAAAAAAAUCAUCAUGAAUUUUGGCGCAAAAAAACGCCUUACUAUACUAUGUCGAAAAAAAAAUGGGAUUUUUCAAACAUGUUGUAAAAACGUGCCAUAUGAUGAAAUAAUGUAAAGGAGGCCGUGAAAAACACUCCAGAAAGGUUUUCUUUGAAAAAACAUGAAUUUUGGCGCAAAAAAACGCCUACUAUACUAUGUCGCAAAAAAAUGGGAUUUUUCAAACAUGUUGUAAAAACGUGCCAUAUGAUGAAAUAAUGUAAAGGAGGCCGUGAAAACCACUCCAGAAAGGUUUUCUUUGAAAAAAAAAUCAUCAUGAAUUUUGGCACAAAAAAACGCCUUACUAUACUAUGUCGAAAAAAAAUGGGAUUUUUCAAACAUGUUGUAAAAACGUGCCAUAUGAUGAAAUAAUGUAAAGGAGGCCGUGAAAAACACUCCAGAAAGGUUUUCUUUGAAAAAAAAAUCAUCAUGAAUUUUGGCGCAAAAAAACGCCUUACUAUACUAUGUCGAAAAAAAAUGGGAUUUUUCAAACAUGUUGUAAAAACGUGCCAUAUGAUGAAAUAAUGUAAAGGAGGCCGUGAAAAACACUCCAGAAAGGUUUUCUUUGAAAAAACAUGAAUUUUGGCGCAAAAAAAACGCCUUACUAUACU
ensembl:lncRNA